rnacentral:rRNA from 1 species
AUUGAACGCUGGCAGCAUGCCUUACACAUGCAAGUCGAACGGCAGCACGGGUGCUUGCACCUGGUGGCGAGUGGCGCACGGGUGAGUAAUACAUCGGAACAUGUCCUGUAGUGGGGGAUAGCCCGGCGAAAGCCGGAUUAAUACCGCAUACGAUCCACGGAUGAAAGCGGGGGACCUUCGGGCCUCGCGCUAUAGGGUUGGCCGAUGGCUGAUUAGCUAGUUGGUGGGGUAAAGGCCUACCAAGGCGACGAUCAGUAGCUGGUCUGAGAGGACGACCAGCCACACUGGGACUGAGACACGGCCCAGACUCCUACGGGAGGCAGCAGUGGGGAAUUUUGGACAAUGGGCGAAAGCCUGAUCCAGCAAUGCCGCGUGUGUGAAGAAGGCCUUCGGGUUGUAAAGCACUUUUGUCCGGAAAGAAAUCCUUGACUCUAAUACAGUCGGGGGAUGACGGUACCGGAAGAAUAAGCACCGGCUAACUAGGUG